UUCAAGAAUUACCUGAAUCCAUUGGAUCUUUGAAGAAGCUAGACUAUCUCAAUGCCUCUGGUUGUGCAUCAUUAGCCUGCAUACCCAACUCAAUAGGUGAUUUAGCAUUUUUGUCUCACCUUGACCUAUCGCAAUGCGAAAAACUUGCUCAACUUCCAAACUCCAUAGGCUCCCUCAUGUCUCUACAACAAUUGUUAUUGAUGGAAUGUGACUCAUUGAGACAAAUCCCAGACUCAAUCGGAAAGUUGACAUCAUUGACUGAGCUGAAUUUGCAAUUUACGGCCAUUCAAGAAUUACCUGAAUUCAUUGGAUCUUUGAAGAAGCUCAAGAAUCUCAAUAUCUCUUAUUGUGAAUCAUUAGCCCGCAUACCCAACUCAAUAGGUGAUUUAGCAUCUUUGUCUCACCUUGACCUAUCGGAAUGCAAAAAACUUGCUCAACUUCCAAACUCCAUAGGCUCCCUCAUGUCUCUAUCGCAAUUGUUAAUAUCGAAAUGCCACUCGUUGAGACAUAUCCCAGACUCGAUCGGAAAGUUGACAUCAUUAACUCAGUUGCAUUUGCAAUCUACGGCCAUUGAAGAAUUACCUGAAUCCAUUGGAUCUUUGAAGGAGCUCAAGACUCUCGAUGCCUCUUAUUGUGCAUCGUUAGCCUGCAUACCUAACUCAAUAGGCGAUUUAGCCUCUUUGUCUCACCUUAAUCUAACGGGAUGCGAAAAACUUGCUCAACUUCCAAACUCCAUAGGCUCCCUCAUGUCUCUACCGCAAUUGUUAAUAUCGAAAUGCCACUCGUUAAGACAUAUCCUAGACUUGAUCGGAAAGUUGACAUCAUUAACUCAGUUGCAUUUGCAAUCUACGGCCAUUGAAGAAUUACCUGAAUCCAUUGGAUCUUUGAAGGAGCUCAAGACUCUCGAUGCCUCUUAUUGUGCAUCGUUAGCCUGCAUACCCAACUCAAUAGGCGAUUUAGCCUCUUUGUCUCACCUUAAUCUAACGGGAUGUGAAAAGCUUGCUCAACUUCCAAACUCCAUAGGCUCCCUCAUGUCUCUACAACAAUUGUUAUUGUCGGGAUGCUACUCAUUGAGACAAAUCCCAGAUUCAAUCGGAAAGUUGACAUCAUUAACUCAGAUGGAUUUGCAAUCUACGGUCAUUCAAGAAUUACCUGAAUCUAUUGGAUCUUUGAAGAAGCUCAAGAAUCUCGAUGCCUCUUGUUGUGCAUCGUUAGCCCGCAUACCCAACUCAAU
rnacentral:lncRNA from 1 species